rnacentral:rRNA from 1 species
GGAGCUUGCUCCACCGGAAAAAGAGGAGUGGCGAACGGGUGAGUAACACGUGGGUAACCUGCCCAUCAGAAGGGGAUAACACUUGGAAACAGGUGCUAAUACCGUAUAACAAUCGAAACCGCAUGGUUUUGAUUUGAAAGGCGCUUUCGGGUGUCGCUGAUGGAUGGACCCGCGGUGCAUUAGCUAGUUGGUGAGGUAACGGCUCACCAAGGCCACGAUGCAUAGCCGACCUGAGAGGGUGAUCGGCCACAUUGGGACUGAGACACGGCCCAAACUCCUACGGGAGGCAGCAGUAGGGAAUCUUCGGCAAUGGACGAAAGUCUGACCGAGCAACGCCGCGUGAGUGAAGAAGGUUUUCGGAUCGUAAAACUCUGUUGUUAGAGAAGAACAAGGAUGAGAGUAACUGUUCAUCCCUUGACGGUAUCUAACCAGAAAGCCACGGCUAACUACGUGCCAGCAGCCGCGGUAAUACGUAGGUGGCAAGCGUUGUCCGGAUUUAUUGGGCGUAAAGCGAGCGCAGGCGGUUUCUUAAGUCUGAUGUGAAAGCCCCCGG